AUUGCUAGAGGCAUUGCAGGUGUGGCUACUGUGUCAGUGUGUGUGUCAGUAGGUGACAGAGAGGAGAGGCUACUUCUCUGCUCAGCGUUCUGACCUAUGAACAUCUGAACGAUCUAUAGCCUAACAUU